rnacentral:rRNA from 1 species
UACGUAGGGUGCGAGCGUUGUCCGGAAUUAUUGGGCGUAAAGGGCUCGUAGGCGGUUUGUCGCGUCGGGAGUGAAAUCCACUGGCUUAACUGGUGGCUUGCUUUCGAUACGGGCAGACUGGAGGUAUGCAGGGGAGAACGGAAUUCCUGGUGUAGCGGUGAAAUGCGUAGAUAUCGAGAGGAACACCGGUGGCGAAGGCGAGUCCCUGGAAAACACCUGACACUGAGGCACGAAAGCUAGGGGAGCAAACAGG